GUAAGUAGGAAAAGUCCUGGGAGUCAGUGGCAGUUUAUAAGUGGGUGUCUGACUUAGUUAUGAGCUUCCUGGAGGAAGAGACUUUUAAGCUGAGAUGAAGAAUGAGUGUUACUGAGGCAGGAAGGAUAUUCCCAGCAGCCAACAGAAUGUGGGCAGAAGUGAUGUGCUAGUUCUGAGCCAAGCUGUAAGGAAACCUUCCAUGUAUCUGCUCACCUCCUUGUGCUUCAGCUAUUCACCAUGAAAGGAACAUACCUGAGCUGUUGCGGAGCCAAAGAGGGUGAAAGACACAUAGAAGAAGCAUGUGGAAUAUGCUGGAACUCAUCAGCAACCAGAGGCCAAGCCCCAGAUGAUUCCAGCAGAGCUACAGUUCACUCUAGACUAAUAAACAAGAAAAUAGAUGUUUGUGGUUGGCUUUUAACAACUAAAUUGAAACAUGAUUCACAUACCAUAAAAUUCACCCAUUCAAAUAAUACUAUCCAAUUUUUUUUGGCAGAUUCAUGCAGCCAUCACUAUAAUCAAUUUUAGAACAUUUUCAUCACCCCAAAAGAAAAUUGCAUAUUCAAUACAUUAGCAGUCUUUUCCCAUUUCCCUGUUCACUGUUAUACAG
ensembl:lncRNA